rnacentral:rRNA from 1 species
AUUGAACGCUGGCGGCAGGCUUAACACAUGCAAGUCAAGCGGUAACAGGGGUAGCUUGCUACCCGCUGACGAGCGGCGGACGGGUGAGUAAUGCUUAGGAAUCUGCCCAGUAGUGGGGGAUAGCCCGAGGAAACUCGGGCUAAUACCGCAUACGCCCUACGGGGGAAAGCGGGGGAUCUUCGGACCUCGCGCUAUUGGAUGAGCCUGCGUUGGAUUAGCUAGUUGGUAGGGUAAAGGCCUACCAAGGCGACGAUCCAUAGCUGGUCUGAGAGGACGAUCAGCCACACUGGUACUGAGACACGGACCAGACUCCUACGAGAGGCAGCAGUGGGGAAUUUUGGACAAUGGGCGAAAGCCUGAUCCAGCAAUGCCGCGUGAGCGAAGAAGGCCUUCGGGUUGUAAAGCUCUUUCAGUCGAGAAGAAAAGGUUGUGACUAAUAAUCACAACUUAUGACGGUACCGACAGAAGAAGCACCGGCUAACUACGUGCCAGCAGCCGCGGUAAUACGUAGGGUGCAAGCGUUAAUCGGAAUUACUGGGCGUAAAGGGUGCGCAGGCGGCUUUGUAAGUCAGAUGUGAAAUCCCGGGCUUAACCUGGGAAUUGCGUUUGAAACUACAAAGCUAGAGUGUAGCAGAGGGGGGUGGACUUCCAUGU